CAUCACAGGUGUAGCAAUACCACGGGUGGCGACCGGCGCACGGGUGCGUAACACGUAUCCAAUCUGCCCGUUACUCGGGGAUAGCCUUCUGAAAGGAAGAUUAAUACCCGAUGGCAUGUAUUCCGGCAUCGGAGAUACAUUAAAGAUUUUAUCGGUAACGGAUGAGGAUGCGUACGAUUAGCUGGUUGGCGGGGUAACGCCCACCAAGGCUACGAUCGUUAGGGGUUCUGAGAGGAAGGUCCCCCACACUGGAACUGAGACACGGUCCAGACUCCUACGGGAGGCAGCAGUGAGGAAUAUUGGUCAAUGGACGCAAGUCUGAACCAGCCAUGCCGCGUGCAGGAAGACGGCUCUAUGAGUUGUAAACUGCUUUUGUAUGAGGGUAAACCUAGGUACGUGUACCUAGCUGAAAGUAUCAUACGAAUAAGGAUCGGCUAACUCCGUG
rnacentral:rRNA from 1 species